rnacentral:rRNA from 1 species
ACGGGAGGAAGCAGUGAGGAAUAUUGGUCAAUGGGCGGGAGCCUGAACCAGCCAAGUAGCGUGGAGGAAGACGGCCCUACGGGUUGUAAACUCCUUUUGCCGGGGGAUAAAAAACGGGACGUGUCCCGUCUUGCAGGUACCCGCGCGAAUAAGGACCGGCUAAUUCCGUGCCAGCAGCCGCGGUAAUACGGAAGGUCCGAGCGUUAUCCGGAUUUAUUGGGUUUAAAGGGAGCGUAGGUGGAAAUGUAAGUCAGCCGUCAAAUCGCGGAGCUCAACUCCGUCCAGCGGUUGAAACUGCGUUUCUUGAGUGCGCAAGAGGCAGGUGGAAUUCGAGGUGUAGCGGUGAAAUGCUUAGAUAUCUCGAAGAACUCCGAUUGCGAAGGCAGCUUGCUGGGGCGCAACUGACGCUGAGGCUCGAAGGUGCGGGUAUCAAACAGGAUUAGAUACCCUGGUA